CCUCUUAUAGCUCAGUGGAAGAGCGUUGGCCUUCGAAGCCUUGCGUCGGGAGUUCGAAUCUCUCUAAGAGGAC
rnacentral:tRNA from 1 species